UCUGGUGUCAGCAGGGCUGCUGUGUGUUCAGGUCGGCAGCCGGUCGUACCAGGGCAGCUGCUUCUUCUCUGACACACAGCUCGGAACAUUGAUCCAUGCUACAGAGCCUCCUAGCACUCAUUAUCGGCAUUACUCUGAGCGCUGUGGGGGUGGGGGAUCCUGCUCCGACUGGACAGCAAAGCCGGUCGACAGUCUGAGGAGAAAUGAUAAUACACCAGUUUCUCAGGCCAAGGAGCACACGCUGCAGCCGGAGGGAUUACGGCAGAGUAAACGAGCUGCAGAAGUCUUGUUUGGAAAAGAAACAUAAUCACUGUGCCAUCUCAACACCAGAAGAAAGAAAACUGUAGAGAAAAAAGAAGCAAAAGAGCACUGAUGUCUCUCUACUUUGUUCAUGAGAGGACGUCUGGAAUUCACCAUCCUACACGCCGAACGUUGCGCCUUCUACGUUUCUCAAAAGAAACACUCUGGAUUUCAAAAGUAAAUCGCAUUUGAGGGCACACAGGAGUGAUGUGAGGUUGCCGGGCUCCAAAAAUAGGCUGCUUAUUUAUAUCGUAUGUUUAAAGCUUUAGAUGUCUGUCAGUUUUACUUAAACAAAAUGAGCCAGUGUUUCGGAAGCCUCAGAAGAAAGUCUGGAUGUCAGUUUGAUGCAUGAAGAGUUGACAUCAGUGAGGAUAAAUUUCCUCCUGUGUUAAAACAUAAGAUAUGCUGAUGCAAAAACAGUAAUGCUACUAAAAAUAAUACUUGGUAGAGCUGAAUUAAUCCUAACUGAUUCACUAAUUGUUCAAUAGAUGUGUGCUUAAGAACAUUUAGGCUUUUCUUUUUAUAGUAGAAAUUAUUGGCUCAAACUUGAUAAUGCACUUUGUACAAGUACCUAAACGUAUUCAGGUUUUCAAAGGUUUUUGGUCGGGUCAUUAGUGUCUUUCACAAAACGGAAUAAUAAUAAAGCCAUAAACACAAACUAGACUCUUUAAAGUGCCUUUGGCUGUUCAUAAAUGAUCAAAUUCGCCGUCCUUGACCAACAAAAGUUUAAGUUUUCUGAAAUAAAGAUACAAUAUGAGUGGGUUGGAACUACCACAGCUCCAGGACUCGGUUAAAAUAAAUGUCAGAAACUCUGAAUGUUCCUGUCAGAACAUGAACUUUUUACUUCAUGAGGCAUAUAACAAUGUCAUGCGAGCAACUUCUAUAUUUUUGUCAAUAACACCUGGCAGCCUGGCAUUUAUGAAUAUUUUGAUUGUGCUUUGAAAAGACGUCCACAUAAAGAAAAACAGAACAGCUUCUGUAACAGACCACAGAGUCCUGCUUAGCGAGCCGCUGCUACUCUCCUGUGCUUGGAUGUGUAUUGUUUAGAUAAGUGUGGCUGUCAACAUUAUAUGCCAGAACACAUGGUUUCUGCAGAGCAUUGCACAGUCACUGCUGACAGGUGAAGUAAACAGCAAUCAAUGUUGUUUACUUCACCUGUCAUUGGUUGACGCUGUGAGUCAUGGAGGGACAUGUGGCGAUAGCAGCAUGUUAGUUUAUAAUCAUGGUUAAAUAUGCUGAAACAGGUGAAGCACUACAGUUGGUCAGAUUCAAAAAUAUUUCAGGAUAACCGUUUGAAAUGAUUGUUUAGCUAUAAAUCAUCAGCCUGGCCACAUGUAAAUGUAUAAAAUAAUUUUUUCUGCCAUCCUUAGCGGUAAUAAGUGUUUUAACGUUUUUGUCUCAUUCGUCUUUGUGCAAUUGUUUUAAUUCAGCCAUAUUAGAGAAUGUUGAGCAUGAACAGCCUGUCUUGCUGAAGCAUUUCCUCACAUAGUUUAAGUUCAAACUUUGACUAGGCUGCUUCCAAAUCUUACUUUUUUUGUUGUUGUUUUCUUGAGUCAGUCAGAGGUGGACUUGCUUUUUUCUUCUCCAAUUAGAUCAUGGAUGGCGUAUUAUAUUAUCAAUAUCGACUGUUCUGAAAAGUACAUCCUCAUGUAUCUCAGUAUGUGUGUAAGCCAUGUGUGUGUAAAAUAAGCUGUAAGCUCUCCCUGACAGUGUUUGACCUUGUUUACUCCAGUAUCAAAACCUCUGAGUCGCAGCGAAAGCGAACUCCUUACUUUCUUGGCCUCUUAAACCAGCAUCCAGAAAGUGUUCCUAUACCUCCUUUAAAAGCGUAGUCUUCCCUCUAGACAACAAUUUAUUAACAUUGAAUCAAGUGAAGUUGUGUUUGAAUUUUGUAAUUUAUUAUUUUUUCUGCUUAUGUGGGAUUUGUAAUCAGGAUAAUGUACAUUUAAUGUCUUCAUGUUAGUCAAGGUUAAAUAUCAGCUCACUUCAGACUGCUGUUAGAAAUAAAAUCAGGUCAGUUGCUUGCUA